GCAUACUAAAACUUUAGGGUAGAACGUGGGUCUCCAAAACCCGAUGUCGUAGGUUCAAAUCCUACAGAGCGUG
rnacentral:tRNA from 1 species